UCCGAGAGGGUCAAACCGUCCCCCCGCGAACCGCCUCAGAUAAAACCCCGCGACCGGUGGUCCUCGCUUCGAACGCCACGCGCCACGACUACUACCGCCACGCUACGCCACGCCAUGCUAUCGGAUAUUUUUCUUGACCAAUAUUUACAGGCACACCGACAGGAAGACUGUUAUCGAGCUCUGCCGAGCACGAGUAAUCGAAAAGAAACUGACGGAAGUCGACGGAAGACGUGAUGGAUGAUGCGCAAGCCCAACCCACCAAGUAACAGAAGACAUCUUCGUGUCGUCACACUUUUUUCCGUCAAAAUGAGGAUUUAAUAUAGCCAUAUAUUGUGAAAGAGAUCCUGCAUUCUAUAGUGGCAGUGCAGCGCAGAAUUUGAUUCUGAUUGCGUUAUAUUGCUCUGGGUUUUCUCUAGAAUGGAAGAUAAUUACCCGGUAAUUACCUCUCUUAGCUUCUAAAUAUUUCCCAGAAUGAGAGAAGAUAUAGGAGUCUGUACUCAAAUCCUCAGCACUGCAAAGCAGAAGCGGAAAAGAGAGGGGAAGGAGGGGGGCAUGCCGGUUGGAAUUAUAAUAUAAUUAGACGCGUAAUCCUGCGGACGGGACAGGGGCAGGGGUACGCCGAGGGAAAGUACUUCGUGUGGGGCGGCCCCCAGCCCUCGGGACAGCCCUGCAAGCUCCCCGUCCCCCGCCACGUGCUCGACAAAAGAUUAUAAAAUGAUGAUCAAUUUUGGUUUCAGCAAAGAUAUUAUCAGCACCGAACUUGCAAUUGCUGCCAUUUGUGUUAUUUUUUCUUGCGUUUUUAAUCUUUUUUCCUUUUCCCAGGUAUCACGAGUAACGACUAACACUUUUUUGUGCUUGAUAAGCAAAUUAAAGCUGAAAAUGAAACAAA